AGGAGGAUGUGGAGAAGAAAGAAACCCCUCGGAAGCGAGAAGAUGAAAGACAGAAACCGAAAAGCGAGAGAGAGGCAGUGAGAGGAGGGGGAAAAAGAAAAGACGAAAAGGCAUCUUUUUGCAACUGGAAUUAAACACGAGGAUCAAGCGUGGGUCCUGUUUUUAAGGCGAUACUCUGCUCAAGCCAUCUGCGGACCUGGGGAAGCUCAUCUGGAAUCCCCUGCAUUGGGAUAUUGGCCUCCUAGGGAACGAAUGUACUCUUGUAACAUCCUCCGGCGUGGAAGUACGAGAGCAAAGGCAAAGAGUCAGUAGAGUUUGGAAAGACCUCAGUGAUGCUUUCUGCCAGGGAAUGAUCGCUAUGGUGAAGGAUACAAGGUGGAAAGAAAGAAAGAGAGAAAAAAAAAGGAAGAAGCCAACUCCUAAACCCCUGGAAAUCUGUGUUAAUUGCUUAUGAAUGUCUCUGUCUAAAAAAAAAUUAUCGAAUUGAUGUCGUCGUGGGUUUUUUGACAGCCUGUCUGUUACAUUUUUUUUAAAUAUUCAUGCACCAAAAUCUAAUUACUAGGCAAAUUUAAUGAUAAUGAAAUGAAGGCACUUUAGCGGAAAGCACAGGGCCCCCGUUAAUGUUUUCUCAGCCUCUGUCUUGUUCGUAAUUUUUUUUUUUUUUUAUGACUGCCUUUCUUGCAUUUAAAAA